rnacentral:rRNA from 1 species
CAGCCGCACGGUAAUACGUAGGGUGCAAGCGUUAAUCGGAAUUACUGGGCGUAAAGCGUGCGCAGGCGGUUAUAUAAGACAGAUGUGAAAUCCCCGGGCUCAACCUGGGAACUGCAUUUGUGACUGUAUAGCUAGAGUACGGCAGAGGGUGAUGGAAUUCCGCGUGUAGCAGUGAAAUGCGUAGAUAUGCGGAGGAACACCGAUGGCGAAGGCAAUCCCCUGGGCCUGUACUGACGCUCAUGCACGAAAGCGUGGGGAGCAAACAGGAUUAGAUACCCCGGUAGUCCCUGUCUCUUAUACA